UACAGAGGGUGCAAGCGUUAAUCGGAUUUACUGGGCGUAAAGGGUGCGUAGGUGGCUAUUUAAGUCGGAUGUGAAAGCCCGGGGCUCAACCUCGGAAUUGCAUUCGAUACUGAGUGGCUAGAGUUCGGUAGAGGGCGGCGGAAUUUCCGGUGUAGCGGCGAAAUGCGUAGAUAUCGGAAGGAACAUCAAUGGCGAAGGCAGCCCCCUGGGAUCAUAUUGACGCUCAUGCACGAAAGCGUGGGGAGCGAACAGG
rnacentral:rRNA from 1 species